rnacentral:rRNA from 1 species
GAUGAACGCUGGCGGCGUGCCUAAUACAUGCAAGUCGAGCGAACAGACGAGGAGCUUGCUCCUCUGACGUUAGCGGCGGACGGGUGAGUAACACGUGGAUAACCUACCUAUAAGACUGGGAUAACUUCGGGAAACCGGAGCUAAUACCGGAUAACAUGUUGAACCGCAUGGUUCAACAGUGAAAGACGGUCUUGCUGUCACUUAUAGAUGGAUCCGCGCCGCAUUAGCUAGUUGGUAAGGUAACGGCUUACCAAGGCAACGAUGCGUAGCCGACCUGAGAGGGCGAUCGGCCACACUGGAACUGAGACACGGUCCAGACUCCUACGGGAGGCAGCAGUAGGAAAUCUUCCGCAAUGGGCGAAAGCCUGACGGAGCAACGCCGCGUGAGUGAAGAAGGUCUUCGGAUCGUAAAACUCUGUUAUUAGGGAAGAACAAAUGUGUAAGUAACUAUGCACGUCUUGACGGUACCUAAUCAGAAAGCCACGGCUAACUACGUG